UGGGUAACCUGCCUCAAAGAGGGGAAUAGCCUCCCGAAAGGGAGAUUAAUACCGCAUAAUAUGUUUAAGUCGCAUGACUUUAACAUCAAAGGAUUUUUCUUUUAAGAAAUUCCACUUUGAGAUGGACCCGCGGCGCAUUAGCUAGUUGGUGAGGUAACGGCUCACCAAGGCAACGAUGCGUAGCCGACCUGAGAGGGUGAUCGGCCACAUUGGAACUGAGACACGGUCUAGACCUCCGUAGGGAGG
rnacentral:rRNA from 1 species